rnacentral:rRNA from 1 species
GGGGAAUAUUGGACAAUGGGCGCAAGCCUGAUCCAGCAAUGCCGCGUGAGUGAUGAAGGCCUUAGGGUUGUAAAGCUCUUUCGCACGUGACGAUGAUGACGGUAACGUGAGAAGAAGCCCCGGCUAACUUCGUGCCAGCAGCCGCGGUAAUACGAAGGGGGCUAGCGUUGUUCGGAAUUACUGGGCGUAAAGGGCGCGUAGGCGGCCCGAUCAGUCAGAAGUGAAAGCCCCGGGCUCAACCUGGGAACCGCUUUUGAUACUGUCGAGCUUGAGUUCCGGAGAGGAUGGUGGAAUUCCCAGUGUAGAGGUGAAAUUCGUAGAUAUUGGGAAGAACACCGGUGGCGAAGGCGGCCAUCUGGACGGACACUGACGCUGAGGCGCGAAAGCGUGGGGAGCAAACAGGA